UACGUAGGGUGCGAGCGUUGUCCGGAAUUAUUGGGCGUAAAGAGCUUGUAGGCGGUUUGUCGCGUCUGCCCGUGAAAGUCCGGGGGCUCAACUCCGGAUCUGCGGUGGGUACGGGCAGACUAGAGUGAUGUAGGGGGAGACUGGAAUUCCUGGUGUAGCGGUGAAAUGCGCAGAUAUCAGGAGGAACACCGAUGGCGAAGGCAGG
rnacentral:rRNA from 1 species